rnacentral:rRNA from 1 species
AGAGAAUAGAUACCCUGGUAGUCCGCGCCGUAAACGAUGAUCACUCGCUGUUGGCGAUACACAGUCAGCGGCUAAGCAAAAGCAUUAAGUGAUCCACCUGGGGAGUACGGCCGCAAGGCUGAAACUCAAAGGAAUUGACGGGGGCCCGCACAAGCGGAGGAAACAUGUGGUUUAAUUCGAUGGUACGCGAGGAACCUUACCUGGGCUUAAAUGUAGAGUGCAUUGGUGAGAAAUCAUCAUUUUCUUCGGAACUCUCUGCAAGGUGCUGCAUGGUUGUCGUCAGCUCGUGCCGUGAGGUGUCGGGUUAAGUCCCAUAACGAGCGCAACCCUUAUCGUUAGUUGCCAGCGGGUAAUGCCGGGGACUCUAGCGAAACUGCCGGUGUAAACCGAGAGGAAGGUGGGGAUGACGUCAAAUCAGCACGGCCCUUAUGUCCAGGGCUACACACGUGUUACAAUGGCCGGUACAGAGGGCAGCUACCUGGAGACAGGAUGCGAAUCUCGAAAGCCGGUCUCAGUUCGGAUCGGAGU